AGCCAUGCAUGUCUAAGUAUAAAAUAGUACAUAUUAAAACUGCGGAGGGCUCAUUAAAUCAGUUAUAACUUAAACAUAGUGUUAUCCCUGGAUAACUGUAGUAAUUCUAGAGCUAAUACACACCGAUAACACCGCAAGGUGAUUGGAAUCAGUUUAAACCAACGAGGUAUUUCGCAAGAGAUACUAAACUGGAACGUGAUUUCAAAUGACAGCCGUAUUUCGUAAGAAGACGGGUCUAUGUUUAGGUUUCUGCCCUAUCAACUUUGAUGCUUGUGUAACGUACCAGCAUAGUGAUAACGGGUGACGGGGAAUUAGGGUUCGAUUCCGGAGAGGGCGCCUGAGAUAUGGCGACUACUUCCAAGGAAGGCAGCAGGCGCGCAAAUUACCCAAUCUCAAUACGAGGAGGUAGCGACAACAAAUAACAAUACAGGCCUUCACAAGGCCUGUAAUUGGAAUGAAUACAAUGUAAAUACCUUAAUAAGGAACAAUUAGAGGGCAAGUCUGGUGCCAGCAGCCGCGGUAAUUCCAGCUCUAAUAGCGUAUAUUAAAGUUGUUGUAGUUAAAAAGCUCGUAGUUAAAAUAAACCGGGGCGUAUUUAGAUACUGUCGGGAGAUUUGUAGAUAAAACGUUCCGAUUUAUUACCUGAUAGUUAACUCUUUCUACUCUUAAAUGAGCGGUUUGUUGUUACUAUCUCGCUUACCUUGAAAAAAUUAAAGCGAUUAAAGCAGGCUUCAAGCUUGAAUACAUUAGCAUGGGAUAACAAAAUAUGGCUUUCAGUUAUAUUUGUUGGUUCAAAGCUGAAGCAAUGAUUAAUAGGGAUAGUCGGGGGUGUUCAUAUUCCAGCGUUAGAGGUGAAAUUCUUGGACCGUUGGAAGAUGUACUAAAGCGAAAGCAUUCACCAAGGAUAUCUCCAUUAAUCAAGAACGAAAGUUAGGGGAUCGAAGACGAUCAGAUACCGUCGUAGUCUUAACUGUAAACGUUGCCGACCAGAGAUUGAAUGACGUUAUAUUAUGACUCCUUCAGCACCUUGAGAGAAAUCAUAAGUCUUUGGGUUCCGGGGGGAGUAUGGUCGCAAGGCUGAAACUUAAAGGAAUUGACGGAAGGGCACCACCAGGAGUGGAGCCUGCGGCUUAAUUUGACUCAACACGGGGAAACUUACCAAGUCCAGACAUGGUUAGGAUUGACAGAUUAAAGUUCUUUCUUGAUUCUAUGGGUGGUGGUGCAUGGCCGUUCUUAGUUGGUGGAGUGAUUUGUCUGGUUAAUUCCGAUAACGAACGAGACCUCAACACUUAAAUAGGAAAAUAUGGUAUCUAACGGGUGAAGUAGAUGGAUAGUUUUGCUCAGCAAUGGGUAAUGCUUCCCUUUAUGGAUCCUUGAUAUCAUCCUUUUUACACAACCUUCUUAAGUGGACUGUUUGCGAUUAGCAAAUGGAAGUUUGAGGCAAUAACAGGUCUGUGAUGCCCUUAGAUGUCUUGGGCUGCACGCGCGCUACACUGACAACCUCAAUGGGCUUCCUUAGAAGACGUUCUUGGGAAAACCCUGAAAGGAAGUCGUGAUGGGGAUCGAUAAUUGUAAUUAUUUAUCUUCAACGAGGAAUUCCUAGUAAGCGUAGUUCAUCAGACUACGCUGAUUACGUCCCUGCCCUUUGUACACACCGCCCGUCGCUCCUACCGAUUGAAUGAUCCGGUGAAGUAUUGUAAUCACGUUGAUUCCUAGGGCAACUUAGGAUGAGUGAGACCUUUAACGAACCUUAUUAUUUAGAGGAAGGAGAAGUCGUAACAAGGUUUCCGUAGGUGAACCUGCGGAAGGAUCAUUA
rnacentral:rRNA from 1 species